rnacentral:misc_RNA from 1 species
GGAGUAAAAGUCGUAACAAGGUCUCCGUUGGUGAACCAGUGGAGGGAUCAUUACCGAGUUUACAACUCCCAAACCCCAUGUGAACCUUACCAAACGUUGCUUCGGCGGGAUGCCCCGGGCGCGGGCCGCAAGGCCUCAGCCCCGGAACCAGGCGCCCGCCGGAGGCCCAAACCAAACUCUUGUUUUUGUAGAAUCUUCUGAGUGGCCUUUUAGGCAAAAAAUGAAUCAAAACUUUCAACAACGGAUCUCUUGGUUCUG